CACACACACACACACACACACACUACUCUUGGUGACCUCUGUUGUUGUUGCUGUGUAAAAAAGCACGCAGCAUAUUCUGUAAAGUAGUUGGCGUUGGGAAGGGUUUGCAGCUGUAGGAACUAUACCAAAGCAAACUGUAAAGCUUGCUACAGUCUUCUGACUUGCCUGUUUUUGUUAAGCUUUCCAACCCUUGCCACCAGGGAAAGAGGAUGGACGUUAAAUGAGGAUAAUGAUUUGUGUGUGUGUGUGUGCAUGCAUGCAUACAUGCAAUAAUAUCGGUAGUUUAUUAUGUCUCGAAUUUCAUUCCAUAGUUAAGAUUGUUUACUUUUUGUCAUAAAUAAUAAAAGAGUAUGAAAAGAAUAACAGAAAGCAACACUCAAGUAGAUGAGUUGACAAGUGUCUUACAAAGAAUAUAGUUUAUUGAUGCUUUCUCUGAAAACUUCAUCUUCUGUAUACUUUAUAUCACUUCAAGAAUCACAUACUCAGGCCCAUUGCCAGACUUUGGUUCCUGUCGGUGCUUCGGAAUAUUGUGGGUGGGCAUUAACCUUUUUGUUACUGUAUUUCUAAUAAUAAUAAUAAUAAUAAAACAUUGUGUACAGUGCUCAGGUGCACUACAACUCAUCUAAAGUGUAUGUAUAGUACAUAGGGUAACGUACAAGC